rnacentral:rRNA from 1 species
UGGGGAAUCUUGCACAAUGGGGGAAACCCUGAUGCAGCGACGCCGCGUGAGCGAUGAAGCCCCUCGGGGUGUAAAGCUCUUUCGGCAGGGACGAUAAUGACGGUACCUGCAGAAGCAGCUGCGGCUAACUACGUGCCAGCAGCCGCGGUAAUACGUAGGCAGCAAGCGUUGUUCGGAGUUACUGGGCGUAAAGGGUGUGUAGGCGGCCUUUUAAGUUUGGUGUGAAAUCUCCCGGCUCAACUGGGAGGGUGCGCCGAAUACUGAGAGGCUAGAGUGCGGGAGAGGAGAGUGGAAUUCCUGGUGCAGCGGUGAAAUGCGUAGAUAUCAGGAGGAACACCGGCGGUGUAAACGGCUCUCCGGACCGUGACUGACGCUGAGACACGAAAGCGUGGGGAGCAAACA